rnacentral:rRNA from 2 species
UUUUGACCUCGGAUCAG